rnacentral:rRNA from 1 species
UACGGAGGGGGCUAGCGUUGUUCGGAAUUACUGGGCGUAAAGCGCACGUAGGCGGCUUGUCGCGUCGGGAGUGAAAGCCCGCUGCUUAACGGCGGGUUUGCUUUCGGUACGGGCAGGCUGGAGUACGGCAGGGGAGACUGGAAUUCCUGGUGUAGCAGUGAAAUGCGUAGAUAUCAGGAGGAACACCGAUGGCGAAGGCAGGUCUCUGGGCUGACACUGACGCUCAUGCACGAAAGCGUGGGGAGCAAACAGG